rnacentral:lncRNA from 1 species
GUCAAGUUGCUGCUUCCAUACUUUGCUGUGCCUUCUUUCACUGCUUGCCUAUGUGAACCUAUUCUUCGAUACUUGUUAUUCAUCCGGAAAAAAUCCUCAUCUAAGUCGCUGUGCCUUCUUGCAUUGCUUGCCCAUGUGAACCUAUUCUUUGAUACUUAUUAUUCAUCUGAAAAAAAUCCUCAUCUAAGUCAAUUUUAUUAUCCUGUAGUUCAAGAAUGAGUGUCGGAUCCAGGUCUCCUUAUUCCUUGAUGAGUCAUAGUAUGCCCAUCUAGCAGGUCAUAUAGAAAGUAAG